ACCAGGACGCCCCGCCCGACCAACAAGGACCAAAGUGUCAGAUAACUCGACCUUGAGGAGAAAUACCGGUGGUAACAGAGGAGUCGCCGUGACGUCAGCGCCAGCGCCGUGCUUGCCACGCGCUACUCCGCGCUGCAGAGACACUCCCGACUCCCGUUCCCGCCGCGGCGCUACCCCGGCCGGCCGACUACCUCCUGCAGCUCCGCAAUCAGCAGCAUGGACUUGGAGUGCGACAUCUGCACCGAGCGCUUCGACGGCGCCGAGCGGCUGCCCAAGGUCCUGCCGUGCAGGCACACGGCUUGCCUGCAGUGCCUGCGCCAGGUGCCCGACAGCAGCUGCGCGGAGUGCCGCCGGGACUUCAACGGCCCGCCGGACGGACCCACCACUAACUUCUUGGUGCUGAAGUCGUUGGAGGGAGUCAGGCUGGCCAGCACUCCCCGCUGCUGGUGCUCGGACUGCCGCACAUCCCCGUCGCCCCGCUGCUGGGAUGAGGACCACGACGUCCUACCCGUCAAGAGAGCCCUGCGGCGCCAGCUUCAGGACGCGCUGCCGC